GGGGGCUCGAAGACGAUCAGAUACCGUCCUAGUCUCAACCAUAAACGAUGCCGACCAGGGAUCGGCGGAUGUUGCUUAUAGGACUCCGCCGGCACCUUAUGAGAAAUCAAAGUCUUUGGGUACCGGGGGGAGUAUGGUCGCAAGGCUGAAACUUAAAGGAAUUGACGGAAGGGCACCACCAGGCGUGGAGCCUGCGGCUUAAUUUGACUCAACACGGGGAAACUUACCAGGUCCAGACAUAGCAAG
rnacentral:ncRNA from 1 species